rnacentral:lncRNA from 1 species
AGGCUGCCCCUGCCAACCCCGAGGGGGGAAGACUGUGCUCUGAGGUCCUCGGGGAUGGUUGUUGCGGGCCUCGGCCUCCCUAGAUUCCUUCCCAUCUCCCCAACAGCAAUCCUCCCAGGGCCAUGGGCCAGGAACCCCUGGUGGUUCUGUAUUCUGAGGUUCUGCAGACGCAGGGUGUAGUCUCCUGCGAGUCCAUCUUGAUUUGGAAGGCUGCGGGAGGAGGUGGCCGAGACCCCUUCCCUAGACCGCGAGGCAGGACGGAGGCAGCCGUUAGGAACGGCCCCACUCCACCAGCCGGCCCCGCGGGACGGUUACUCUGUUCCUGAGGUACCCCCCGAGGUUGGCUGUGAUAGGUGUCCCUGGCCACGUCAGUGGAGCACCCAGGCCUCAAGCAGCAUGCUGGGGAAGGGAAAACCCCCCAUUCUGGUGAUGGAGGUGGCCAUGACCAUGUCUGGUUUUCAAAGGCAGCUUUGUAAGAACAGAAACCAGCAGCUCCCCAACAUCUGGCCCUAUCUGCUGUGCAAACCACAGGGACCAGGACCUUUCCGGGGUGCCAGUGGCAUCCUCUGGAACCAGCUUCUCAGUGGAAUUUCAGAUGCUAUUCCUGGUCAAUUGCCUUUGCUAUGUGCUAUCCUUUAAUAAAUUCUGUUUCUCCUC